rnacentral:lncRNA from 1 species
UUCAUUCGUUCAUUCAUUCAUUCUCCUUUCAUUCCCUUAUGUCUCCAAUCAUUUGAAAAAUGCAUUUAUAUAAGUAAAACCCUCAUUCAUUCAUUCGUUCAUUCAUUCAUUCACCCCGUCCCUGGCUUUUGGCCAGGCUCCACCAACCUACAAGGUAAUACUCGAGUAUACCGAAACGUUCACCCAAGUUCCUAAUCGCCCGACCGAGUCCGCUUCUGGCUCGAGACGACCGGUAACAAGGGGCAAUGGCCAGUUCAGCCCAAAGGCUUACAUUCAUGCACAAAUAACAUUUCAAUCGUUCAAUCAUUGAAACUUUCACAAUCAUUUAGGCCGAGUGCGAUAAAGUACACACUUGCCUCAAAAACUCGUUUUAGCAAUUGUUGAAAGCAUUUAACAUUUAUCAAUCAUUCAUACAAGCCAUACCAUCAUGAAACAUAACAAACAAGGAACACUCACCUAAUUACGCAAAAUAACGUGCAAAAUAUUCUUCCAGAUAUUACCCUGGUCACCGAGAAAACCUAAGAUUUAACGAAAAGAAUAUUACAAGUCAUAUAGCAAAACAAGUAAGUGAAAUCAAGGAAUUCGGCUAAGUACGAGUAAAGCGAGUAAAACAGAUAAAGGUGACUUUAAAGUGAAAGGAGUCCAUUAGGGCCAGUGGAUGAAAUAACUAGGGUUGGUAAAUUAAGUACAAAACUAACUCCAAAAAGGUUAAUAAG